UGGGGAAUAUUGGACAAUGGGCGCAAGCCUGAUCCAGCAAUGCCGCGUGGGUGAAGACGGCCUGCGGGUUGUAAAGCCCUUUAAGCGGGGAGGAAAAGUGGAGCGCGAAUAGCGUUUUGCGUUGACGUUACCCGCAGAAUAAGCACCGGCUAACUCCGUGCCAGCAGCCGCGGUAAUACGGGGGGUGCGAGCGUUAAUCGGAAUGACUGGGCGUAAAGCGUGCGUAGGCGGUGUAAUCAGUCAGCCGUGAAAGCCCCGGGCUUAACCUGGGAAUGGCGGUUGAGACGGUUAGACUCGAGUGGGCUAGAGGACUGUGGAACUCCCGGUGUAGCGGUGAAAUGCGUAGAGAUCGGGAAGAACACCGAUGGCGAAGGCAGCAGUCUGGGGCCACACUGACGCUGAGGCACGACGGCGUGGGGAGCAAACA
rnacentral:rRNA from 1 species